AUGAAAAGUAUAUACUUCCUCCCAGCCCCUAGAUCAUUCAGAACAUUUCAUUGGACAGUACGUGGCACCAGCCUGCCAUUUUUGAGUGCAUCACAGGGCUUGUUGCUAUUAUUUAUCUUGUUCUUAUCACGUUGGUAUUUAAACAUCUUAUCGCUGUACAGGAGAGAAAAGGUCCUGUUCUGCGGGCUGUGUUUUUCAACCAGUGAUUCAGGAGUACUGAUACACUUGCUCUGUUUUGAGCUGCACUCACAUUUCUGCUGGGAGGCAACAACAAGGAAAACACAGGUUCCUGACUUCAUUCAACCGAGGAGGGCGACCAUUUCUGCGAUGCCACUGACACGAGGCUCCACAGGUUCAGGGGUUUGUCGUUCACCCCCGUGUCCCCGUGCCCAACACAGGGCUUGGCACACGAUCCUGUGUGCAGUGCAGCCAACAUGGCCGGCCGCCACCCAUUGUCUUCCGAAGGGUAGAGAUGUUCCUGGGAAGGAGCUACCUGGCCAGAGACUACAAUUCCCAGCCCCCCUUGCAGCAAGUUGAAGCCAAGUGGCUGAGUUCUUCCCAAUGGGCCAUGAGAAGAGGGAUGCACUCUACUUCCGGAUGUGGUGCAUUACAGCUUCUGCACUCUCAUCUUCCGCCUCAGUUGGCUGGGUGUUGAUGCCCUGGGCCCCUCAAUGACUCCUGCCUUUAUCCUCCUUUCUCCCACCAUUGGCCUCUCUGUAAGCAAGAAAUAAAAGUAUUUUGUGUGGUGCCA
rnacentral:lncRNA from 1 species